UCAUACUCGUACCAAUUUGGG
rnacentral:piRNA from 1 species